rnacentral:rRNA from 1 species
AUUGAACGCUGGCGGCAGGCUUAACACAUGCAAGUCGAGCGGUAACAGAGAGAAGCUUGCUUCUCUGCUGACGAGCGGCGGACGGGUGAGUAAUGCCUAGGAAUCUGCCUAGUAGUGGGGGAUAACUUGCCGAAAGGUAAGCUAAUACCGCAUACGUCCUACGGGAGAAAGGAGGGGACCUUCGGGCCUUUCGCUAUUAGAUGAGCCUAGGUCGGAUUAGCUAGUUGGUGAGGUAAUGGCUCACCAAGACCGCGAUCCGUAACUGGUCUGAGAGGAUGAUCAGUCACACUGGAACUGAGACACGGUCCAGACUCCUACGGGAGGCAGCAGUGGGGAAUAUUGGACAAUGGGGGGAACCCUGAUCCAGCCAUGCCGCGUGUGUGAAGAAGGUCUUAGGAUUGUAAAGCACUUUAAGUUGGGAGGAUGAGCAGUUAACUAAUAUUUGACUGUUUUGACGUUACCGACAGAAUAAGCACCGGCUAACUUCGUGCCAGCAGCCGCCGUAA